UACACUCCUACGGGAGGCAGCAGUGGGGAAUUUUGGACAAUGGGCGAAAGCCUGAUCCAGCCAUGCCGCGUGCAGGAUGAAGGCCUUCGGGUUGUAAACUGCUUUUGUACGGAACGAAACGGCCUUUUCUAAUAAAGAGGGCUAAUGACGGUACCGUAAGAAUAAGCACCGGCUAACUACGUGCCAGCAGCCGCGGUAAUACGUAGGGUGCAAGCGUUAAUCCGAAUUACUGGGCGUAAAGCGUGCGCAGGCGGUUAUGUAAGACAGUUGUGAAAUCCCCGGGCUCAACCUGGGAACUGCAUCUGUGACUGCAUAGCUAGAGUACGGUAGAGGGGGAUGGAAUUCCGCGUGUAGCAGUGAAAUGCGUAGAUAUGCGGAGGAACACCGAUGGCGAAGGCAAUCCCCUGGACCUGUACUGACGCUCAUGCACGAAAGCGUGGGGAGCAAACAGGAUUAGAAACCCCUGUAGUCCCAUGA
rnacentral:rRNA from 1 species